UGGGGAAUUUUGCGCAAUGGGCGAAAGCCUGACGCAGCAACGCCGCGUGAGUGAUGAAGGCCUUUGGGUCGUAAAGCUCUGUCAGGGGGAACGAAGUGUAGGGAGUUAAUAGCUGACCUAUUUGACGGUACCCCCAAAGGAAGCACCGGCUAACUCCGUGCCAGCAGCCGCGGUAAUACGGAGGGUGCAAGCGUUGUUCGGAUUUAUUGGGCGUAAAGGGCGUGUAGGCGGUUUCUUAAGUCUGAUGUGAAAGCCCCGGGCUCAACCUGGGAAGGGCAUUGGAAACUGGGAGACUUGAGUACGGGAGAGGGCAGUGGAAUUCCCAGUGUAGGAGUGAAAUCCGUAGAUAUUGGGAGGAACACCGGUGGCGAAGGCGGCUGCCUGGACCGAUACUGACGCUGAGACGCGAAAGCGUGGGGAGCAAACAGG
rnacentral:rRNA from 1 species